ACAGAGGGAAUCAAUAUUUUGGAAAUCUUUUUGUAUGCUGAUAUUCUGGAUUUAAAUCGCUUGUAUUCGAAUGACAUUCAUGCCAUUGCAAAUAUGUAUGGAAUUGAAGCAGCAAAUAAAGUUAUUAUAAAGGAAAUCAAGAAUGUGUUUGCAGCUUAUGGUAUAGAAGUUGACUACAGACAUCUUUCUCUGCUGGCGGAUUAUAUGACAUUUGAGGGGACAUACAAAGCUUUCAACAGAAGAGCUAUAGAGACAUGUGCUUCGUGCUUACAGCAAAUGAGUUUUGAGACGACCAUGAGUUUCCUUGUGAAAGCCAGUUUACAGGGGGCCUAUGACAAUCUAAAGUCCCCCUCCUCCCAGAUUGUGGCUGGCAAACCUAUCUCUUGUGGCUCUGGGGCUUUUGAACUCCUUUAUAAACUCUUUUAGGUGCUGCAUGUUUAUAAAUAAAGUAUCAGUUGUUAC
rnacentral:misc_RNA from 1 species